rnacentral:rRNA from 1 species
CUGGUGAGUAACGCGUGAGGAACCUACCUUCUAGAGGGGGACAACAGUUGGAAACGACUGCUAAUACCGCAUGAUACAUUUGAAUCGCGUGGUUUGAAUGUCAAAGAUUUAUCGCUGGAAGAUGGCCUCGCGUCUGAUUAGCUAGUUGGUGAGGUAACGGCCCACCAAGGCGACGAUCAGUAGCCGGACUGAGAGGUUGGCCGGCCACAUUGGGACUGAGAUACGGCCCAGACUCCUACGGAAGGCAGCAG